CAGCAUUAUGACCAGUCUUGGAACUAGGAUUGGGGUGGGGUUCAUCCCACCCAGACCACAGAGACUGAAAAUAAGAAAGGGGUGAGGCCUAAGGGACAAUCAGGAUGUUUUUCAGAGAGAAGUGUGGAUGCUGGACAGGAAGAACCACAGAUGCCAGAUACGGGUACUGUUGUAACUCUGUUCUCCAUGAAAAAAAAAGAAGAAUCAACACUUUCAGAGAUGGAGCCUGUUGAGCCACAGUACCAACUAGUCGAUGCUGA
rnacentral:lncRNA from 1 species